GACAGAGGGUGCGAACGUUGUUCGGAAUUACUGGGCGUAAAGCGCGUGUAGGCUGCUCGGAAAGUCGGAUGUGAAAGCCCUGGGCUCAACCUAGGAAGUGCAUUCGAAACUUCCAAGCUGGAGUGCUGGAGAGGAAGGCGGAAUUCUCGGUGUAGAGGUGAAAUUCGUAGAUAUCGAGAGGAACACCGGUGGCGAAGGCGGCCUUCUGGACAGUAACUGACGCUGAGACGCGAAAGCGUGGGGAGCAAACAGG
rnacentral:rRNA from 1 species